rnacentral:rRNA from 1 species
ACGGAAGGCAGCAGUGGGGAAUAUUGCACAAUGGGGGAAACCCUGAUGCAGCGACGCCGCGUGAGUGAAGAAGUUAUUCGUAAUGUAAAGCUCUAUCAGCAGGGAAGAAAAUGACGGUACCUGACUAAGAAGCCCCGGCUAACUACGUGCCAGCAGCCGCGGUAAUACGUAGGGGGCAAGCGUUAUCCGGAUUUACUGGGUGUAAAGGGAGCGUAGACGGUCUAGCAAGUCUGAUGUGAAAGGCAGGGGCUCAACUCCUGGACUGCAUUGGAAACUGUCAGUCUUGAGUGUCGGAGAGGUAAGCGGAAUUCCUAGUGUAGCGGUGAAAUGCGUAGAUAUUAGGAGGAACACCAGUGGCGAAGGCGGCUUACUGGACGAUAACUGACGUUGAGGCUCGAAAGCGUGGGGAGCAAACAGGAUUAGAUACCCUGGUA